GCAAAUUGUUCAAAAGCAAAAUAACCUCUCCCUGUCAACUCUCUGAAACACAGCUGUAAGAAACAGAAUUUUAAGACAUCAAUAUUCUUGAACUCUUGGAAUCAGGCAGUGAUGCCAGUUAAUGCCUUCAAAUAUCCUGUCUUGACAGGAUUCCUUGGAUGCUUGAUUACUGCGACUUCUCUAUUGUUCCCGAAUAUAUUAGUGAUGCUGUGGAGCUGCAUCAGUGCCAUUCACAGGCUUUCAUUUACCAAAAUAUUUCAGGCUGAUGUCCUCCUCAUCAUUGACUGUGCAGAGAGAACACUGUUGUAGCUGUUUUGUUUUAUUUUAUUAAAUAUGCCUAGCACCUAUAUGAAAUAAUACAUUUUUGUGUCAAAAUAUCUAAAUGUUUUCUGUUCACAGAAAUUAUUGGAAAAAUCUCAAAUGGUUUUCAUAAUUUUAGGGGAAGGGAGGUAGAGUAAGCUAAGAAGCUGCAAAACUGGUUGUGUGCUAGAACUUAAAUACAAAGUACAAAUAAAUUCUGUAAUUUUUAGAUUAAAUUUUACUGUCAACUUCAAAAAUAUUUAAUGCAUCUCUUGUGUUUAUUUUACAAUUUAGCUGGGAAAGUCUGUAACUGUUCAUUUUACUCAGACCUCCACUUGGAGGGAGUGCUAUGCAGACUUUCUGAAAGCUGGGGUUUCUGCAUAUAAUAAAAAUAUCCACUGAUGAUCAUAUUCAGAGAAUCUAAAUUCAGCAUAAGUCUAGGAUUCUUUAUUGUUUUCAUAAGUCUAGGAUUCUUUAUUGUUUUCCCAUAGGUGAUUGAAGAUGUCUAGCCAAAAGGGAACAGUACGUGCUGGGAUUUAUGGGAACUUUAAAUGGCUAAAAAUAAUGGCUCACACUGAAAUGUGUUUAGAUUCAUCCUGGCCUUAAAAUAUUUUUGAGACAUGGCAAGUUGUGGGACGUUGAGAGUACUAUGCUAUAGGUGAGGUACCAAGAUCUCUCCCUCCCUUCAGCCGCAGGACUCUCCUUAAUAAUGCUGGAAGUUAACAUGAAUCAUUUAUGAGCAUCAGUAGACACAUGGGUGGGGCUUCUUUGUAAACUGGUAUUUUGUUGAUGCAAUAUGUGUGACAGCCUUUUA